GUGCCAACAGCCGCGGUAAUACCGGCAGCCCGAGUGAUGGCCGAUCUUAUUGGGCCUAAAGCGUCCGUAGCUGGCCGCGCAAGUCCAUCGGGAAAUCCACCCGCCCAACGGGCGGCCGUCCGGCGGAACCUGUGUGGCUUGGGACCGGGAGGCCUGAGGGGUACGAUCGGGGUAGGAGUGAAAUCCUGUAAUCCCGCUCGGACCGCCGAUGGGGAAACCACCUCAGGAGAACGGAUCCGACAGUGAGGGACGAAAGCCAGGGUCUCGAACCGGAUUAGAAACCCUAGUAGUCC
rnacentral:rRNA from 1 species